rnacentral:misc_RNA from 1 species
AACGCACAUUGCGCCCGCCAGUAUUCUGGCGGGCAUGCCUGUUCGAGCGUCAUUUCAACCAUCAAGUCUCAGGCUUGUGUUGGGGGCCUGCGGCUGCCGCAGCCCCCUAAAAGCAGUGGCGGGCUCGCUGUCAUUCCGAGCGCAGUAAUACAUCUCGCUUUGGUUGUGGCGGUGGGCACCUGCCGUAAAACACUCUUUCUAAGGUUGACCUCGGAUCAGGUAGGAAUACCCGCUGAACUUAA